rnacentral:rRNA from 1 species
GCUUCCCUGAUGUUAGCGGCGGACGGGUGAGUUAACACGUGGGUAACCUGCCUGUAAGACUGGGAUAACUCCGGGAAACCGGGGCUAAUACCGGAUGGUUGUUUGAACCGCAUGGUUCAAACAUAAAAGGUGGCUUCGGCUACCACUUACAGAUGGACCCGCGGCGCAUUAGCUAGUUGGUGAGGUAACGGCUCACCAAGGCAACGAUGCGUAGCCGACCUGAGAGGGUGAUCGGCCACACUGGGACUGAGACACGGCCCAGACUCCUACGGGAGGCAGCAGUAGGGAAUCUUCCGCAAUGGACGAAAGUCUGACGGAGCAACGCCGCGUGAGUGAUGAAGGUUUUCGGAUCGUAAAGCUCUGUUGUUAGGGAAGAACAAGUACCGUUCGAAUAGGGCGGUACCUUGACGGUACCUAACCAGAAAGCCACGGCUAACUACGUGCCAGCAGCCGCGGUAAUACGUAGGUGGCAAGCGUUGUCCGGAAUUAUUGGGCGUAAAGGGCUCGCAGGCGGUUUCUUAAGUCUGAUGUGAAAGCCCCCGGCUCAACCGGGGAGGGUCAUUGGAAACUGGGGAACUUGAGUGCAGAAGAGGAGAGUGGAAUUCCACGUGUAGCGGUGAAAUGCGUAGAGAUGUGGAGGAACACCAGUGGCGAAGGCGACUCUCUGGUCUGUAACUGACGCUGAGGAGCGAAAGCGUGGGGAGCGAACAGA